UGCCUACGACAGCUACUGGGAGAG
rnacentral:piRNA from 1 species